AGAGUUUGAUCCUGGCUCAGGACGAACGCUGGCGGCGUGCCUAAUACAUGCAAGUCGAACGAAGCUUUCUUUCACCGAAUGCUUGCAUUCACCGAAAGAAGCUUAGUGGCGAACGGGUGAGUAACACGUAGGCAACCUGCCCAAAAGAGGGGGAUAACACUUGGAAACAGGUGCUAAUACCGCAUAACCAUGAACACCGCAUGAUGUUCGUGUAAAAGACGGCUUUUGCUGUCACUUUUGGAUGGGCCUGCGGCGUAUUAACUUGUUGGUGGGGUAACGGCCUACCAAGGUGAUGAUACGUAGCCGAACUGAGAGGUUGAUCGGCCACAUUGGGACUGAGACACGGCCCAAACUCCUACGGGAGGCAGCAGUAGGGAAUCUUCCACAAUGGACGAAAGUCUGAUGGAGCAACGCCGCGUGAAUGAAGAAGGCCUUCGGGUCGUAAAAUUCUGUUGUCAGAGAAGAAUGUGCGUGAGAGUAACUGUUCACGUAUUGACGGUAUCUGACCAGAAAGCCACGGCUAACUACGUGCCAGCAGCCGCGGUAAUACGUAGGUGGCAAGCGUUGUCCGGAUUUAUUGGGCGUAAAGGGAACGCAGGCGGUCUUUUAAGUCUGAUGUGAAAGCCUUCGGCUUAACCGAAGUAGUGCAUUGGAAACUGGAAGACUUGAGUGCAGAAGAGGAGAGUGGAACUCCAUGUGUAGCGGUGAAAUGCGUAGAUAUAUGGAAGAACACCAGUGGCGAAAGCGGCUCUCUGGUCUGUAACUGACGCUGAGGUUCGAAAGCGUGGGUAGCAAACAGGAUUAGAUACCCUGGUAGUCCACGCCGUAAACGAUGAGUGCUAAGUGUUGGAGGGUUUCCGCCCUUCAGUGCUGCAGCUAACGCAUUAAGCACUCCGCCUGGGGAGUACGGUCGCAAGACUGAAACUCAAAGGAAUUGACGGGGGCCCGCACAAGCGGUGGAGCAUGUGGUUUAAUUCGAAGCAACGCGAAGGACCUUACCAGGUCUUGACAUCUUCUGACAAUUCCAGAGAUGGAACGUUCCCUUCGGGGACAGAAUGACAGGUGGUGCGUGGUUGUCGUCAGCUCGUGUCGUGAGAUGUUGGGUUAAGUCCCGCAACGAGCGCAACCCUUAUUGUCAGUUGCCAUCAUUAAGUUGGGCACUCUGGCGAGACUGCCGGUGACAAACCGGAGGAAGGUGGGGAUGACGUCAAAUCAUCAUGCCCCUUAUGACCUGGGCUACACACGUGCUACAAUGGACGGUACAACGAGUCGCUAACUCGCGAGGGCAAGCUAAUCUCUUAAAGCCGUUCUCAGUUCGGAUUGCAGGCUGCAACUCGCCUGCAUGAAGUCGGAAUCGCUAGUAAUCGCGAAUCAGCAUGUCGCGGUGAAUACGUUCCCGGGCCUUGUACACACCGCCCGUCACACCAUGAGAGUUUGUAACACCCAAAGUCGGUGGGGUAACCUUUUGGAGCCAGCCGCCUAAGGUGGGACAGAUGAUUGGGGUGAAGUCGUAACAAGGUA
rnacentral:rRNA from 1 species